CCUACGGAGGCUGCAGUGGGGAAUAUUGGACAAUGGGCGAAAGCCUGAUCCAGCCAUGCCGCGUGUGUGAAGAAGGCCUUCGGGUUGUAAAGCACUUUCAGUGGGGAAGAAAGCCUUGGGGCUAAUACCCUCGAGGAAGGACAUCACCCACAGAAGAAGCACCGGCUAACUCCGUGCCAGCAGCCGCGGUAAUACGGAGGGUGCGAGCGUUAAUCGGAAUUACUGGGCGUAAAGCGCGCGUAGGCGGUCUGAUAAGCCGGUUGUGAAAGCCCCGGGCUCAACCUGGGAACGGCAUCCGGAACUGUCAGGCUAGAGUGCAGGAGAGGAAGGUAGAAUUCCCGGUGUAGCGGUGAAAUGCGUAGAGAUCGGGAGGAAUACCAGUGGCGAAGGCGGCCUUCUGGACUGACACUGACGCUGAGGUGCGAAAGCGUGGGUAGCAAACAGGAUUAGAUACCCCGGUAGUC
rnacentral:rRNA from 1 species